GCUCAGCGGGGGCUCAGCAGACAAACACGAAAUACCUCAUUUCUCAGGAACUCACGCAGACAGAGCGCGGACGGUCGGGCUGCUCGCCGCCGAGAUCAAACCCACGCCUGGGAAGAGAGAUUAGCAGCAGAGAGAGGGUGGCGAGAGCGAUCCGACAGCGGGGAGCACAGCGCUGGUCCAGGAGGGUGAGCUGCAGGGUUCACAACCCACAUAUGCUUCUUCCUCGUCUGUGAGCGGACCCCUAACGCGCUGCAGAUGGGACACAUUCCAUGGAUUCAGGAGCUGCCUGUUGCUCCCGCAGAGGAAAAGGAGCCCUCCCCCGGCUCGGGCUGAAGGGCAGGUGAAGGUUGGCCAGCCCCACGGCUUAAAAAGCAGAGUGCAGAGCCACCUUUCAGGGGCACAAGUCACAGCCUCUCUGAAAAGAGUCAAGAGACAAGGAGGGAGUACAUGGGGAGCUGAAUGGAGAAACAGCUUCCAGCAAGGCAGACAUCUCUGCAGAGGACCUCUAACACCAAGAACAUUGGAGAGGCAAGAAAAGUGGUUUUUAAACGUGAGAACACAGCCAGCAAAUCCUCCACAGACACCAUCUGACACCCUGGCUACGCCACGAUGCACACACAGCUCAGCACACGUGCUGACGGGACACUCAGGGAUGGAGAUGUUCCCCCUGGACCAUUGGGAACAGACCCAAGGAGACACAUGCUGGCCCUCUAGCCACCUCCACCCACUCUCGGUGUGUCCCUCAGAGCCUCAGGGUACAUCCCAGCCUCCCCUCAUGAGGAGGAGGCCAGCAGGCAGCCGAGAACCAUGUAAGUGACGGCAUCUUGUGAGAAAACAGAACACAAAUUGUCCAGCAUCUCCUAGCUGGGUUUAUUGCUCCUUCUGCUUUCGUUUAGCCAGGACCAUCUCCGAGUCGGGGGCGGGAGGCACAGCCCAGCCAAGUGGGUGUCCCAUGGCCAGACUCUUUGGUCGUGCUGUUGUCUAAACAUAUGUCCGUACGUUACCGGGGGCUGAGACCACACGCUGGAAAGGAGGUUACAACAUGAGAGGAAAACAUGCCGCUGUGAAUGAGAAGAAACCUGGAGAGCAGGAACAGAUGGCAGAACCCAAGGGAUGGGAGUGAAGAGUGAGGCAGAGAGGAGAGCGCUGUGGGCUACUGCUGCAGAAAGGCUCUGGUGGGGCUGGCUGCAGAGCACAGCUGGCUCCUUAUUUAUCCAUCACGUUAUUUCAAGCCCCUUCAGCAACUCGUCCAGAAG